UACGAAGGGGGCUAGCGUUGCUCGGAAUCACUGGGCGUAAAGGGUGCGUAGGUGGCGCCGUAAGUCAGGCGUGAAAUCUCGGGGCUUAACUCCGAAACUGCAUUUGAUACUGCGGUGCUUGAGGACUGGAGAGGAGACUGGAAUUUACGGUGUAGCAGUGAAAUGCGUAGAGAUCGUAAGGAAGACCAGUGGCGAAGGCGGGUCUCUGGACAGUUCCUGACACUGAGGCACGAAGGCCAGGGGAGCAAACAGG
rnacentral:rRNA from 1 species